rnacentral:rRNA from 1 species
GACGUAGGGGGCCAGCGUUGUUCGGAAUUACUGGGUGUAAAGGGUUCGUAGGCGGUGCGGCAAGUCGGGAGUGAAAUCUCUGGGCUUAACCCAGAGGCUGCUUCCGAAACUGCUGUGCUUGAGUGUGGGAGAGGCGCGUGGAAUUGCAGGUGUAGCGGUGAAAUGCGUAGAUAUCUGCAGGAACACCCGUGGCGAAAGCGGCGCGCUGGACCACUACUGACGCUGAGACUCGAAAGCGUGGGGAGCAAACAGG